rnacentral:rRNA from 1 species
CCUACGGGCGGCAGCAGUGGGGAAUAUUGCACAAUGGGGGAAACCCUGAUGCAGCGAUGCCGCGUGGAGGAAGACGGUUUUCGGAUUGUAAACUCCUUUUAUCAGGGACGUUAAUGACGGUACCUGAGGAAAAAGCUCCGGCUAACUUCGUGCCAGCAGCCGCGGUAAUACGUAGGGAGCGAGCGUUGUCCGGAGUUACUGGGUGUAAAGGGAGCGUAGGCGGGACGUCAAGUCAGAUGUGAAAACUGAGGGCUCAACUUUCAGAGUGCAAUUGAAACUGCUGUUCUUGAGUGAAGUAGAGGUAAGCGGAAUUCGUGGUGUAGCGGUGAAAUGCGUAGAUAUUAGGAGGAACAUCGGUGGCGAAGGCGGCUUACUGGGCUGUCACUGACGCUGAGGCUCGAAAGCGUGGGGAGCAAACAGGAUUAGAUACCCGAGUAGUC